UGGUACCAACCCACAUCUCCACUUAACAAUGGUACCAACGCAUUUAUCAUCCGGCCCAUUGUGGAAGAGACAAAAUUAGUUCACCCCAUAACAGGAAUAGAUCCAUUAAGAGGGGGAUGCAAAACAAACCAUGCCCAACCUCAAACUGUGAGACCAUCGGCCCACCUGACUACCAACCUACCAAACUAACCCUAUAUGGCUAUAUAUCAGCGAGACCUGGACGGGAGCAAGAUACAAUUCCACAGAGCAUCCAUUGGAGAGGUUAGGUGACGGAGAAGUAGGCGUUCCGGUUCGAAGAAGGGUGGAGAGAGAUUCCAAUCCGAAGCAACUGAUCGAGAAAAUGGACAUUGGCACUGUUUGAUGGAGAACAACCGAAGUCUAAUCGAGUCCACAAUGGAGUUUCAGAGGAGGCGCUGAUUUGUUCCUGAAAAUUCGAUUGUUUCUUUCCUUCCACAAGUGAUAGACAAAGCUAUCCAAGUGCUACUGCUAAGAAUAUGUUGAGGAAUGUUACUAAACAACUAAGCAAUAUCAACAGCCUUGAUGAUAUGAUGCAAACUCUCAGAAGCAAAAUUGAAUGGAAAAUAAAUAAAAGAGAAGUUGAGAACUGGUUGGAUAAUGUGCAAAAACUGAAUUUCAAAGCUUAGAACGAGAUGUACAAGGAAAUAGUACUACUUUUCAAAAUGAAUUUGGAAAAGGUUUGGGAUUGCUUGGUGAAAGAUGAUAUCAUGCACAUUUGAAUUUAUAGAAUGGGGGCAUUGGGUAAAACAGCCUUGGCAACCCAUAUCUAUAAUUUACUUUUACAAAGUUCUGAAACUUCUGACGUGCAUGUUCAUUGGUUCUUUGUAUAGCAAGAUUAAAGUGUUAUAAAUUGCAGUACGAAAUUGCCAACAUUUUAAAGUUGGAUCUCACAAAGGAGAAUGAAAGAAAGAAAAGGGCAACCAAAUUCUGACAUGCAUUGACAAGAAUGAAGAAAUAUGUACUUAUCUUGAUGAUGUGUGGAAACAUUUUGGUUUUGAGGAGGUGGAAGUUCCGUGUAGAGUGAAUGGAUUGAAGUUGAUUCUUACUACUUCCAAGUUGGAGGUGUGUCAAAAGAUGAUGCAAUGACAAAAGAUGAUGCAUGGACUAAAUAUGGGACUGUAGCUAUCCUGCACAAAAGAAGGAAACAGGAACAUUGAAGGCUUGUCCUUACAUCCCAGGAAAUGAAUGUUGUGAAAGGCUGGCAUACUAUGGGAUGAGCUCCAAUCUGGUGCUUCAUUUCAAGAUUCAUCUAAACCAGCAAAGUUCUACGGCUUCUAAGAAUAAUUUAAAUUGGUCGGGAACCUGCUACCUCACCCUCUGACAGACCGUUUCUUGCCAAUCCCUAUCUAGGAAGAUUUUAUACAAUUGCUACCGUCUCUAUCAUCUAUGUCAUUGGAAUGACAUUUGUUGACAAUGUCAGCAUCAAUUCCUGGCCUAAAGCCAACCUGUUAUGAAAAAGAUGUUUGCCACACGACAAAUACGCAAGGUGCAGUGUUCUUCCUAGCACUUGAUAGCUCUUGGGAAUGGAGGGAUUAAACCUUGUGUCUCAUCCUAUGGAGCAUAUCAGUUUGAUGAUGUUGAUGAGGCAGAGAGGAAACAAAAGAGUUCUUUCUUCAAUUGGUUUUAUUUUUCAAUCAAUGUUAGUGCACUCAUUGCUUGGCAAUUGCAGUUGUGAGCUUCUUUUCGGGUACUAGGUUGUAUCGGUACCAGAAAUCUGGACACAGCCCUUUGAUGCGCAUCUUUCAAGUGCUGGUGGCAUCCGUGAGGAAAUAUCAAGUUGAAGUGCCUCUGGACAAGUCUCUUUUGUAUGAGCCUGCAGAUGCAGAGUCUGCUAACAAAGGAAGUCGCAAGCUUGAUCACACCUCAGCCUUCCGUCAAUAUAGGUUACACCUCAACUCCCAUGUCUUUCUGCCUCAUCAUGGAUAUUUCCUGUUCUUCCAAUGCAUUCCUCCACUCAUGAGUAUCAACCACCUCCCUCAUGCUUCCACCCAUUGUUAUUAUCCCAAGUGGUAGUAAGAAUCAACUUCAAUCCAUUCACUCUACAAGUAAUUACCACCUCCUCAAGACCAAAAUAUUUCCACACGUCAUCCAAGAUAAGUCUAGAUUUCUUCAUUCUUGUCAAUGCUUGUGAGAGUUUGGCUGCCCUUUUCUUCUUUUCGUUCUCCUUUGUGAGAUCCAACUUUAACAUGUUGGCAAUUUCAUACGUCACGCCUUAAUCUUGCUAUACAGUGAGCCAAUGAACAUGCACCUCAGACAUUUCAGAACUUUGUAAAAGUAAAUUAUGGAUAUGGGUUGCCAAGGCUGUUUUUCCCAAUGCCCCCCUUCUCUAAAUUCCAUUGUGCAUGAUAUCAUCUUUCAUUAGGCAGUCCCAAACCUUUUCCAAAUUCUAUGUAAAUUCUUCACCUGUUAAUUUUGUGUCAACAAUGCCAUUGCUUUGGUGUCAUCAUGUACAUCAAGUAACAGAAAUUUACCUUGCUCUCAACAAGUUCUAAGCAUGUUUUCCCAAUGGUAAGUUUUGGAAAGUAGCAUUGCUUCCUUGUACAUCUCGUUCUAAGCUUUGAAAUUCCUUUUCUUCUUUUGCACAUUAUCCAACCAAUUGUCAAUCCGUCUCUUUCGUUUCUUUCCCAUUUGAAACUCUGCAUAUUGCAGCAUUGCAAUUACAUCAAUUUCUCAGCAGCUUUAUCAUUCAAUUUUGCUUCCGAGAGUUUGCAGCUUAUUAUCAAGGCUAUUGAAAUUGCUUAGCUGUUCCUUGGCGUUCCUCAAGAUGUGUUGCAACUGUUUUAGACCUAUUAAUAUUUCGCUUUCUUGUAAAUUUCUCUAGUCCUUUAUUGUUUGUAAUGGACUUGUUUUCUUCUGCUUAGUGGGGGGUAUGUCCCCCGCUUGUUCCCAAUAUAGCGUAUGAUUUUAUUUAUUUUUGCCAA